UUUAAAUAUCUUGUUGCCCUAAAAGUAAGAUUCUUUUAUAGAGUUUUUUAAAACUUGAUUUGGUUGAACACAAUACUGCUUGAAAACACAAUAGUAUUU